AUUGAACGCUGGCGGCAUGCCUUACACAUGCGAGUCGAACGGUAACGGGCCUUCGGGUGCCGACGAGUGGCGAACGGGUGAGUAAUACAUCGGAACGUGCCCGAUCGUGGGGGAUAACGAGGCGAAAGCUUUGCUAAUACCGCAUACGAUCUACGGAUGAAAGCAGGGGACCGCAAGGCCUUGCGCGGACGGAGCGGCCGAUGGCAGAUUAGGUAGUUGGUGGGAUAAAAGCUUACCAAGCCGACGAUCUGUAGCUGGUCUGAGAGGAUGAUCAGCCACACUGGGACUGAGACACGGCCCAGACUCCUACGGGAGGCAGCAGUGGGGAAUUUUGGACAAUGGGCGCAAGCCUGAUCCAGCCAUGCCGCGUGCAGGAUGAAGGCCUUCAGGUUGUAAACUGCUUUUGUACGGAACGAAAAGCCUUCUUUUAAUACAGGAGGGUCAUGACGGUACCGUAAGAAUAAGCACCGGCUAACUACGU
rnacentral:rRNA from 1 species